GUCUCUUUAGAUCAAUAUCCUGGGGGGUCGGUGGAAGGCUGGUUAAACCGUUUGGUUUACGACCACUACGACCCGGGUUCGAUCCCCGCAUUGGACA
rnacentral:tRNA from 1 species